UACGAAGGGGGCUAGCGUUGCUCGGAAUCACUGGGCGUAAAGCGCACGUAGGCGGCUUUCUAAGUCAGGGGUGAAAUCCUGGAGCUCAACUCCAGAACUGCCUUUGAUACUGGGAAGCUCGAGUCCGGAAGAGGUGAGUGGAACUCCGAGUGUAGAGGUGAAAUUCGUAGAUAUUCGGAAGAACACCAGUGGCGAAGGCGGCUCACUGGUCCGGUACUGACGCUGAGGUGCGAAAAGCGUGGGGAGCAAACAGGG
rnacentral:rRNA from 1 species